rnacentral:rRNA from 3 species
ACCCUUUAAUGUUUGAUGUUCUAACGUGGACCCGUAAUCCGGGUUGCGGACAGUGUCUGGUGGGUAGUUUGACUGGGGCGGUCUCCUCCUAAAGAGUAACGGAGGAGCACGAAGGUUGGCUAAUCCUGGUCGGACAUCAGGAGGUUAGUGCAAUGGCAUAAGCCAGCUUGACUGCGAGCGUGACGGCGCGAGCAGGUGCGAAAGCAGGUCAUAGUGAUCCGGUGGUUCUGAAUGGAAGGGCCAUCGCUCAACGGAUAAAAGGUACUCCGGGGAUAACAGGCUGAUACCGCCCAAGAGUUCAUAUCGACGGCGGUGUUUGGCACCUCGAUGUCGGCUCAUCACAUCCUGGGGCUGAAGUAGGUCCCAAGGGUAUGGCUGUUCGCCAUUUAAAGUGGUACGCGAGCUGGGUUUAGAACGUCGUGAGACAGUUCGGUCCCUAUCUGCCGUGGGCGCUGGAGAACUGAGGGGGGCUGCUCCUAGUACGAGAGGACCGGAGUGGACGCAUCACUGGUGUUCGGGUUGUCAUGCCAAUGGCACUGCCCGGUAGCUAAAUGCGGAAGAGAUAAGUGCUGAAAGCAUCUAAGCACGAAACUUGCCCCGAGAUGAGUUCUCCCUGAGACUUAGAGUCUCCUGAAGGAACGUUGAAGA